AGAGUUGAUCUGGCUCAGGAUUAACGCUGGCGGCGUGCCUAAUACAUGCAAGUCGAAUGGUAGCAAUACCAUGGCGAACGGGUCGAGUAACACGUAGGUAACCUGUCUUUAAGCCGAGGAUAACCAUUGGAAACGAUGGAUAAUACUGGAUAGGACAUUUGAAGGCAUCUUUAAAUGUUUAAAGAUUUAUCACUUAGAGAGGGGCCUGCGGCGCAUUAGGCUAGUUGGUGAGGUGAAGGCUUACCAAGGCGAUGAUGCGUAGCCGGACUGAGAGGUUGAACGGCCACAAUGGAACUGAGAACGGUCCAUACUCCUACGGGAGGCAGCAGUAGGGAAUUUUCGGCAAUGGGCGGAAGCCUGAACCCGAGCAACGCCGCGUGAACGAAGAAGUAUUUCGGUAUGUAAAGUUCUUUUAUUAGGGACGAAAAGACAGAUUGACGGUACCUAAUGAAUAAGCUCCGGCUAACUACGUGCCAGCAGCCGC
rnacentral:rRNA from 1 species